rnacentral:rRNA from 1 species
UACGUAGGGAGCAAGCGUUGUUCGGAUUUACUGGGCGUAAAGGGCGCGUAGGCGGCCUUCUAAGUCAGACGUGAAAUCCCCCGGCUUAACCUGGGAACUGCGUCUGAUACUGGGAGGCUUGAGUAUGGGAGAGGGAUGUAGAAUUCCAGGUGUAGCGGUGAAAUGCGUAGAUAUCUGGAGGAAUACCGGUGGCGAAGGCGGCAUCCUGGACCAUUACUGACGCUGAGGCGCGAAAGCUAGGGGAGCAAACGGG